CUAUAAGCCAAGGUUUAAAAAAAUAAGUUGUUAAAGGGCUGAUAGACGUACGAACUUUAAAGUCGCGGUUUUAAAGUUCGCGUACUUACUCGGCUCGCGGCGGUGACAGACGUGCGAGCCAAGGCGGGCUUCGAGUAAGAUUUCAAACAUGUUGGAUCGUCAACGAACUUACUCGACGGUUUUUAAGUACGCGUACUUGGGGUGACACACGAGCGAAAAAGGUCGUCGAGCCACAAGUUCGCGUACUUACUCGUACGUCUGUCACCCCUUU